AUUCGCUUCCAGGCACAAUAGCAUUUAUUGCAUGGAUGGAUUUAUUGGCCAGGAGGACAUGCUUAUGCAACGUGGUUACGUUCUUUUUCCGACGGGAAAUCAACUGGGCGCCGGUGAACGAUUCUGCGUAGACCUGGCUCAUCUCGAACAAGCCAAUUUAUUGAAGGUUUGGCGAAUACAAAUCUGUGUUCAGUGCAUAAUGUGCAUGGCAUGGGAGAAGAUACAUUCAUCACCAGGUUGACCACAGCUGGCCGCUUCAGUCCUCGGUGUCGGAGCUGUCUGCUGGGUCGGUGUUGUGGGUCAGCAUGUAGUUGUCCAUGUCGAUGGAGGGGCAGUUGUGGAUGGAGUAACGCAGACGCUCUGCGAGGAUGGCCUGGCUCGUGUACGGGGGCAGGCGAAACAGGAAGAAGCAGGCUUGGUAAUUCGUUAGUGAUGACCUCACCCUAUCAACCUUGAUGAUUUGGAACUUCUGCGUGAUAUCAGCUGGGUUGGAAGGCAACCUGGACCGGCCAGACACAAAACGUAGGAACAGCACUCGCUCCUCAUUGGUGAACUCCUCCAAGCUCUGCCAAAACCAACCAAUAAGCUGGUGGCUCUCGGUGAUGUCACGGUAACGCACCAGCUUCUUUAGCAUCUCAACAGAGACCUCUGGCAGGCCACAGACCAGCUGCUCCAGCUGCUGUGCUGUCAGCAGGGAGAGGAGGGGCACAGGGAUGAUGGUGGACAUGCCCUCUCUGACUGCUGCCACCUGGACACAACAGAACGUCAGCUUUGAUACUUCUGAAGACAAGAUAAAGGGAACAACAACAGCACAACAAACAGUGUUGUCUGUACUGUCUAGUGAGCACUAAUGGAACCUGUAAGGCAGACUGGGUGUUUAAAAUGGAUAAGUUUCAGAUACAGUCGAGAGAAAGCCACGCCAAUGUUUUUAUUGUAUACAAAUAUUGUCUAUGUGGGUCAGGUCCGUUUGGUAAAUUUAGUUAAAAAAAAUGUAUUUAAGGUGUAUUUUUUUGUGUAU